CCUACGGGGGGCAGCAGUGGGGAAUAUUGGACAAUGGGCGAAAGCCUGAUCCAGCAAUGCCGCGUGUGUGAAGAAGGCCUUCGGGUUGUAAAGCACUUUAAGUUGGGAAGAAAAAGCUUCAGCUGACAUCUGAAGCCUUGACGGUACCAACAGAAUAAGCACCGGCUAACUCUGUGCCAGCAGCCGCGGUAAU
rnacentral:rRNA from 1 species